UCCGUCAAGUUUUUGGAAAAGUUCACUAAUUCUGGUUUUGGGUUUUGGCAGCUUCCUAGUGGGAUUGCAGCGUUUCGGAAAAUGUUACAGUUAUGCGUACUGCGUACAUGUCGGUGUAUACGACAUAUGCCGUGGUUUCUCUUUGUGAUUAUCGAUGUUGUAUGAUCGCAUAAUUAUGCUACAUCACUUAAAUGGAGCCCUGGUAUCUAGGCAACCGGAAACUUGUCACUAGCGACACGCCCGGGUGUACACCCAUUGCUUCGGGAUCAGUGGCAAGUGACAACGCGUAAACGAUCAAACCGGUUGUAAGUGCUAUUUUCGAUAACUUUUGUGAUUUGAAGACUGUUGCGCUUAUUAACAUGGUUCCACGCUGUGACCCUAUAGUGUUUUUACAAUCACUUCAUCUGCCGCCAGCGUAAAUUUUACUGAUUGGCUCAGUAAUGGUUAUUUUCCCAGAGUUAAUAGAAGACCAUAAUUUUUUUUGCUGAUUUGGGAUACACAAUAUUCGGAUGUUUGUGCGUUUGCCUUGUUUUUGUCACCCUUUAUGUGAGCUUCUCUCACUCUGAUUUGAUUAUUUGCCGACAAAUUACAAGAAUGGUGGAUGACCUUUGAAAAAAGGUGGACGUCCUUUAAAAAAUGGUAGAUGAGCUUUGAAGGAGUGUGGAUGAUUUUCGGCGGAACAUGGGAUGCCGAAAUCAAAGAAACAGUGGUGGAAAGCGAUUAAGUGGCAUGCCUUUCUUUCGUAGAUCUUGCGAAGCGUUUUCGGGAGCAGUCUGAUGAAAUGUGCGCAAAGUCAAUUUAGAUACAGCGUUGCAGUAUGAAAAUACUCCGCGGCAUGGUGCGCAGUAUUCCCGGCAGCGGAAAGCAAUCGACAAACUCACUUUCUGCUCUGGGAUUUUCUUGGGGUUUUUUAGAAGUCUACAACUUCAGCUUAGUUAUUUUGUAAUUAAUCUGCUAUCGAUUAUGUUUUGGUUGUUAGUUAAUGGAUAUAGCAGUGAACAGCAAUUGCUACAAUUUGCAAUACCUUUCCAGAAAUGUGGAUGGCCUUUAUAAAAAGAAAGGUGGAUGACCUUUACAGAAAGGUGGACUACCAUAACAACACUCACUUAAGGUGCUACAACGUCUCCACUUGAGUUUGCC